rnacentral:tRNA from 1 species
GCGCGAGUGGCGGAACGGCAUACGCGGUCGGCUCAAACCCGGCUUCUCUGUGGGUUCGACUCCCACCUCGCGUACCA